rnacentral:rRNA from 1 species
GUGGGGGAUAUUGCACAAUGGGGGAAACCCUGAUGCAGCGACGCCGCGUGAAGGAAGACGUACUUCGGUAUGUAAACUUCUAUCAGCAGGGAAGAAGAUGACGGUACCUGACUAAGAAGCCCCGGCUAACUACGUGCCAGCAGCCGCGGUAAUACGUAGGGGGCAAGCGUUAUCCGGAUUUACUGGGUGUAAAGGGAUCGUAGACGGUGAAGCAAGUCUGAUGUGAAAACCCGGGGCUCAACUCCGGGAUUGCAUUGGAAACUGUUUUACUUGAGUGCUGGAGAGGCAAGCGGAAUUCCUGGUGUAGCGGUGAAAUGCGUAGAUAUCAGGAAGAACACCGGUGGCGAAGGCGGCUUGCUGGACAGUAACUGACGUUGAGGCUCGAAAGCGUGGGGAGCAAACAGGAUUAGAAACCCUUGUAGUCC